UAACCAGUUAAGAAUGACUGCUAAUACCGGAUGAUGUCGUAAGACCAAAGAUUUUAUCGGCAAAGGAUGAACCCGCGUAGGAUUAGCUAGUUGGUGGGUAAAGGCCUACCAAGGCGACGAUCCUUAGCUGGUCUGAGAGGAUGAUCAGCCACACUGGGACUGAGACACGGCCCAGACUCCUACGGGAGGCAGCAGUGGGGAAUAUUGGACAAUGGGCGAAAGCCUGAUCCAGCAAUGCCGCGUGAGUGAUGAAGGCCUUCGGGUUGUAAAGCUCUUUUACCAGGGAUGAUAAUGACAGUACCUGGAGAAUAAGCUCCGGCUAACUCCGUG
rnacentral:rRNA from 1 species